rnacentral:rRNA from 1 species
GUAACACGUGGGCAACCUGCCUGUAAGACUGGGAUAACUUCGGGAAACCGAAGCUAAUACCGGAUAGGAUCUUCUCCUUCAUGGGAGAUGAUUGAAAGAUGGUUUCGGCUAUCACUUACAGAUGGGCCCGCGGUGCAUUAGCUAGUUGGUGAGGUAACGGCUCACCAAGGCAACGAUGCAUAGCCGACCUGAGAGGGUGAUCGGCCACACUGGGACUGAGACACGGCCCAGACUCCUACGGGAGGCAGCAGUAGGGAAUCUUCCGCAAUGGACGAAAGUCUGACGGAGCAACGCCGCGUGAGUGAUGAAGGCUUUCGGGUCGUAAAACUCUGUUGUUAGGGAAGAACAAGUACAAGAGUAACUGCUUGUACCUUGACGGUACCUAACCAGAAAGCCACGGCUAACUACGUGCCAGCAGCCGCGGUAAUACGUAGGUGGCAAGCGUUAUCCGGAAUUAUUGGGCGUAAAGCGCGCGCAGGCGGUUUCUUAAGUCUGAUGUGAAAGCCCACGGCUCAACCGUGGAGGGUCAUUGGAAACUGGGGAACUUGAGUGCAGAAGAGAAAAGCGGAAUUCCACGUGUAGCGGUGAAAUGCGUAGAGAUGUGGAGGAACACCAGUGGCGAAGGCGGCUUUUUGGUCUGUAACUGACGCUGAGGCGCGAAAGCGUGGGGAGCAAACAGGAUUAGAUACCC